ensembl:lncRNA
GGGGGGGGGGGGGUCUUGGAAGAGACCACUCCCAUCAGGAUGAUAGAUAAUCACUGUCAAUGACUGAGUGACCCAUCACUAAAUGAGGCGGUCAGAGUUUGAUUUGUGGGCGUGUCAUGUUCAGCUCACUGAUGCUGUGACAAAACAGGACCGUGUGUGUGUGUGUGUGUGUGUGUGUGUGUGUGUGUGUGUGUCUUGUUGUUGAAGUGUUAUCAGGACAGGCCUGCACCCUGACACCACCCUGAUUGUGAUUGUUGUCACACAGAAGCAUGAGUGUGUUUGUGAGGUCACAGUCUGAUGACACUUUUCGUUAGAAGUUGUGCUCCAUCAGGAUACGUGCCAUGUGUACAAAGACACAUUAAGCCAAGCAAACUGAGCUCUCUCCAUCAUUUAUCGCUUUGUGCCUGUUUGCAUCCAUUCUUUACUGCCAUCUUGCUCUCUGCAGCUUCUCUCCUCCUGCUACCCCCCAAAAACCCAUCUCCAUAGAGACUGUGUCAGCUCCCAAACAGACAAAAAACAAACUAAAAACCAGCAACAAACAACUUGAACAUAAAAAAUCACAAAGAAAGAACAAUACAGUAUCCACAUCUGAACCAAAGAGUAACACAGUGAAAUGUGGAUUAUUAAAUAUUAGGUCUCUCUGCUCCAAGUCUGUUAGUACAUGACUUAAUAACUGAUCAACAAAUCGACUUACUCUGCCUUACGUCUUGAUGCAUGCUCAAUCAUCCAGGUAAGGAAAUCUCCAAAAGUUGAUUCUGUUCAUCUGGACGUUUUCAGUGGGAGAAACGUUUUGUCGUCAUCCAGGUGACGUCUUCAGUCUCAGCUGACUGCAGGUUUCAACCUUAUAAACAGGACAUAAUGACUGAAACCAGCCCAGUGAAGGAACAAUGGGCUGGGAGGUGACAGAAUGAUGCACCAACAAUGACCAACUGAGGCCACAAGAUGGCAGCGUGAAGGCUGGAUGCACACUGGCAGGCCAGGAGCUUUGGCUGCUUUACUUUAGACAUAAUUGAAACGUACCAUUGUUAGAUUUGCAGUGCUCGUCCUGAUCACUGUCUUUAUCAGAAUCAGAAUACUUUAUUCAUCCCGAGGGAAAUUAGGGUUACAGCAGGCAGCACGCUAAUGGCGCAUGCACACUUACAAAGGAACCUUCUGACCAACUUUACACAAACAUCACAUUGGGCAGACAUGUCAGAAAGGUAGGCUGAUAGGAAAAAAACAACGAAAAUACAUAACAUGAGGUAAGAGGAGGAGAAAAAAAAAACUCCACUCAGACUGAGCUCCUAGUGGGAGAACAGUUUGAUAACAGAAAAAACAAAAGCACAUGACUAUCAAUACACCAUAGAAACACGAGACAAGCAACAGGGCGGGUAAAGGGUAAGAGAGAGCCGGCGUAGACAGCGCAUCCGGUCCUGCAGCAUCUGUGCUGGUCCAGUUGACUGCCAUCUACCCCGGUAGGGCACAAGCAUCGAAGGCGUUGGAAAGGGAGGGGGGAUGAGUGAGUGCUUAUCAGUGUAAGUGUGUGUGUGUGCGUGUCCAUAGUUUAGCUGAGACAGUGUCCUUCGGCCUAUCAGGCUAAGUAAACAGUCCUCCAGCCAAUCCAGGUGUCCUUGCAUGGGAUGGGAAGAAUAGCCGUAACACAGUCGUUAUCAGGGAGUGAUUGUUCGGCUCCAGCCUUGGGCCUGCAGCUGGCGCCGUUAUGGGGAUCCGCAAUGUUUAUGUUGGUUUUGUUAAUUUCAUGCGAGCAGCCCAGGAGAAUUUUCAGGCUGCUCUUUAACACUCUGACACUGGCCUCUCGAUCUCCCGUUGGAGAGUCGCGAGCCUCCCCAUGAUGGUAUCAAACUUCUGUUCCAUGGUGUUAUCGUUCUUUUGAUUCUGAGACCUCACAGCUGCAGUGAUCCGUUCCGCGAUGUUUUCCAACUGUCGCUCAAGGGUCUCAUUUUGAGCAGGCCUCUCUCUGAUGUAUCCCCCCAUACGCUCAAUGGUGUUGUUUUGAGCCUUCACAGCAGCUGCAAGCGUCUCCAAGGUGUUGAUCAUAUUACGUUCGUUGUGAGAGGUCGCGCCUCGUUCCAUUUCGAUUCCAG